rnacentral:lncRNA from 1 species
GUGGAAGCAAAAACGUUCCUGUGUGGAAGUCAAUCAUCCACCUAGCGACAAAACUAGGUAAACCGAAUAUUUUUUAUUUUUUUUCCCCCAGAAAGAAACAAAACAUUGCUCUGACCGCAUCGUCGGAAGUCGAAUGAGUUCUGAAAAGAUUGAUGGAUUGGAUCAAGAAUGGCAGAUUGAUUCAAAGAUGACAACUCCAAGUGAUAUUAAUCAAGACAUUACCAGCAAUGGCAAAACUGUUCAUCAAGUUUCUACAAAUCACAAAAUGAGCAAAAUGAUGUCUGUAGAAGUUCAUUUUUUGGAUGACACUGUCAAUUCUUUUCAAAUUCAAGUAAGAUAAAAUUUGAAUUUUUUGAUAUUUGUGCCGUAACUUAAAUUAAUUG